GUGCUCACUUCAGCAGCACAUAUACUAAAAUUGGAAGGAUACAGAGAAGAUUAGUAUGGCCCCUGCACAAGGAUGACAUUCAAAUUCAUGAAGCGAUCCAUAUUUUU
rnacentral:snRNA from 2 species